UGGGGAAUAUUGGACAAUGGGCGAAAGCCUGAUCCAGCAAUUCCGCGUGUGUGAAGAAGGCCUUAGGGUUGUAAAGCACUUUAAUUCGGGAAGAACAAGCUCGGGCUAAUAUCCCGAGCCCUGACGGUACCGAAAGAAUAAGCACCGGCAAACUCUGUGCCAGCAGCCGCGGUAAUACAGAGGGUGCGAGCGUUAAUCGGAUUUACUGGGCGUAAAGCGUGCGUAGGAGGCUUGUUAAGUCGGUUGUGAAAUCCCCGGGCUCAACCUGGGAACUGCAGUCGAUACUGGCAGGCUAGAGUUCGGUAGAGGGUGGCGGAAUUUCCGGUGUAGCGGUGAAAUGCGUAGAGAUCGGAAGGAACACCAAUGGCGAAGGCAGCCACCUGGGCCUGAACUGACUCUGAGGCACGAAAGCGUGGGGAGCAAACAGGAUUAGAUACCCCCGUAGUCC
rnacentral:rRNA from 1 species